rnacentral:rRNA from 1 species
UAAGGAAUUUUGGUCAAUGGACGCACGUCUGAAUCAGCCAUGCCGCGUGAAGGAUGAAGGUCCUCUGGAUUGUAAACUUCUUUUAUCUGGGACGAAAAAAGCUCAUUCUUGAGCACUUGACGGUACCAGAAGAAUAAGCACCGGCUAACUCCGUGCCAGCAGCCGCGGUAAUACGGAGGGUGCAAGCGUUAUCCGGAUUUACUGGGUUUAAAGGGUGCGUAGGUGGAUUUGUAAGUCAGUGGUGAAAUCUCCGAGCUUAACUCGGAAACUGCCAUUGAUACUAUAAGUCUUGAAUUAUCUGGAGGUAAGCGGAAUAUGUCACGUAGCGGUGAGAUGCUGAGAUAUGACCUAGAAAACCACUUGCGAAGGCAGCUUACUACGGAUUGAUUGACACUGAGGCACAAAAACGGGGGGAUAAAACA